UAGUCCACGCCGUAAACGAUGGUUACUAGCUGUUUGGACUAAUUGAGGUCUAAGUGGCGCAGCUAACGCGAUAAGUUGACCGCCUGGGGAGUACGCCGGCAACGGUAAAACUCAAGGAAUUGACGGGGGCCCGCACAAGCGGUGGAGCAUGUGGUUUAAUUCGAUGCAACGCGAAAAACCUUACCUACCCUUGACAUCAUUGGAACUUGUUAGAGAUAACUUGGUGCCUUCGGGAACCAAUAGACAGGUGCUGCAUGGCUGUCGUCAGCUCGUGUCGUGAGAUGUUGGGUUAAGUCCCGCAACGAGCGCAACCCUUGUCCCUAGUUGCCAGCACGUAAUGGUGGGAACUCUAGGGAGACUGCCGGUGUAAACCGUGAGGAAGGUGGGGAUGACGUCAAAUCAUCACGGCCCUUACGUCCUGGGCCACACACGUGCUACAAUGGCGGGGACAAAGGGUUGCGACAUGGCGACAUGAAGCCAAUCCCAAAAACCUCGCCUCAGUUCGGAUUGGAGUCUGCAACUCGA
rnacentral:rRNA from 1 species